GACGAACGCUGGCGGCGUGCUUAACACAUGCAAGUCGAGCGGUAAGGCCCUUUCGGGGGUACACGAGCGGCGAACGGGUGAGUAACACGUGGGUGACCUGCCCUCAGCUCUGGGAUAAGCCUGGGAAACUGGGUCUAAUACCGGAUAUGACUCCAUGACGCAUGUUGUGGGGUGGAAAGCCUUGUGCGGCUGAGGAUGGGCCCGCGGCCUAUCAGCUUGUUGGUGGGGUGGNGGCCUACCAAGGCGACGACGGGUAGCCGGCCUGAGAGGGCGACCGGCCACACUGGGACUGAGACACGGCCCAGACUCCUACGGGAGGCAGCAGUGGGGAAUCUUGCGCAAUGGGCGAAAGCCUGACGCAGCGACGCCGCGUGAGGGAUGAC
rnacentral:rRNA from 1 species